rnacentral:RNase_P_RNA from 1 species
GAAGUAGUACGGAUGAUCGCGCCGCAAGGUGAGGAAAGUCCGGGCUUUACAGGGCAGGAUACUGGUUAACGGCCAGCGGGAGAAAUCCUGGAGAUAGCGCAACAGAAAAUAUACCGCCGCGAAAGCGGUAAGGGCGAAAUGGCGGUUUAAGAGACCACCGCGUGCAUGGUGACAUGCAUGGCACGGCAAGCCUUAUCCAAAGCAAGAUCAAAGGAAUAAGGGCGACCUUAUUCGGCAAAAGCUAUACGGCGGCCCGUCGUGCUUUUGGGUAGAUCGCGUCCAGCGGGGUGACCCGUAUGGGGAGCUUUUCAGUAAUGAAAAGUCAAGAAGGAUGAUCAUCUAAAACAGAACCCGGCUUAUGGUACUACUUUAAAA